AGGUUAAGGGUCAAAGGGUCGAAAGCGCGGUCAGGCUUGCAUGAUAAGGCUUUUGAACUUGUGACCCGCUAAACAUGAGGAAGUAGCGAUUUGCGUAGCAAAUCAGCGGGAUUCCGAAAGUUUACAGAAUUGCGUGAGCAGCUUGCUGCGAAGCAAUUCGUUGACACA
rnacentral:ncRNA from 2 species